rnacentral:misc_RNA from 1 species
GAUGAAGAACGUAGUGAAAUGCGAUAAGUAAUGUGAAUUGCAGAAUUCAGUGAAUCAUCGAAUCUUUGAACGCACAUUGCGCCCGCCAGUAUUCUGGCGGGCAUGCCUGUUCGAGCGUCAUUUCAACCAUCAAGCCCCCGGCUUGUGUUGGGGACCUGCGGCUGCCGCAGGCCCUGAAAAGCAGUGGCGGGCUCGCUGUCACACCGAGCGUAGUAGAUUUCAUCUCGCUCAGGGCGUGCUGCGGGUUCCGGCCGUUAAACCACCUUCAUAACCCAAGGUUGACCUCGGAUCAGGUAGGAAGACCCGCUGAACUUAAGCAUAUCAAUAAGCGGAGG